rnacentral:lncRNA from 1 species
AGUUACUACAGUGGUUUACCAUUUCUUUUUCUCCUUUUUUUUAAUAGAUGAGGAAACUGAUGUAAGCAGGAUUAAGUGACUUACCCAGGAUCACAUGGACAAUAACCGUGGCUGGUGGAACCUUUGUAAGGUUAAAAACUCAGCGCGUUUAAGGAGACCAGGAGCUUCAACCCUGGGCCAUUUUCAUAACUGCUUACUCCUACACAGUGAGUCACCAAUACGAAGCUUUUGUGCACAAUUGCAGAGAUAGCUGAUGAGGAA